UUGAACGCUGGCGGCAUGCCUUACACAUGCAAGUCGAACGGUAGAGGGGCAACCCUUGAGAGUGGCGAACGGGUGAGUAAUAUAUCGGAACGUGCCCAGUCGUGGGGGAUAACGCAGCGAAAGCUGCGCUAAUACCGCAUACGAUCUAUGGAUGAAAGCGGGGAUCGCAAGACCUUGCGCGAUUGGAGCGGCCGAUAUCAGAUUAGGUAGUUGGUGGGGUAAAAGGCCCACCAAGCCGACGAUCUGUAGCUG
rnacentral:rRNA from 1 species